ensembl:lncRNA
AUUCCUGUGAUAGCGAAGCUGAAGUUCCAGCAGUAUCUCACUAUGCAAAUUCCAUGUAACAGUAAGGUUUGUCUCUCUUGUCUAUUUUGAAAUGAGAUGUUAUGGCUUGAGAUACAGUGCAGUAACUUUUCUUCAAUGUUUGUCUAUCACUUUCAGAGCUUGACGAGAUAAAUUUCUCAUGUGUAGAAAGAAAACAUGCAACCUUACAUGGGUGGGACGAAGACAGCUAACGGAAGUCUUAUGUGACCUUGUGCACGUACACAGAGACAUAUGAUCACACUGCUGUUUACCAUAUCCACUUAUAGAAGCCAAGCCAAAGCACUUUAUCCCUUCAUGAGCUAAAGGUGAUCUUUACUGCGGUAGGAAAUGGCCAAGAUCUGUCAUAGCUCUGACAAAUGUAGGCCAAUUUUGCAGCGUUACACUUUAAGGCUUGUGUCCCCACAAAAAGUCACCUAGCAGCUGUGUUAACUAGCCUACUGGGAGGGAAUCCAAUACAGAGUAGUAGAGUAAAAGAUCAAGGAAGUGUGCUGUUUAGCCUGGGUCAUUUAACUUAGCUUUUCCUUUGCUGCAAUGACAGCAUGCUGCAAUAUCACUAUGCAUUUUGCAUGACAUUUAUACACAAGUGUUAGUUAUUGCUUAAUCAAUUUCAUUAUAGGCUGUGAUAUUGCAUAGAAAGCAUGCUUGACACUUUCAAAAGGAAAUGUUAACAGUGCUUUAUUCUUAAGCAUUUUUUUUUAAUGCUGAGAUGUUUAUUCAUGUAAUCUUUUCACAGAGUAUGUCAAAAAUUUGGCAUCUGACGGGGUGUGAAUAGUUUUGUGUGGGGUGAUACUUUUAUGUUGUUUAGUCAGACCUGGGUUGAACAGUUUAUUCAUACUGAAGCUUGCAAGAAUUAUUUUUCCCUCCUACAAUCACAAAAUUGACAUCAGUGGUAAAAAACGGGAUCAAGAUGCUCAUUCAUUUGGAGAAAUGCCAGAAAUGUGUGAUUAAAUAGCAACAUAUAACCCUUCUACCUGAAUUGAAAAGGUUCAUGGGUAGUUCACAUGCAAAUUAAAAGAUUUGCAUAAUAACUCCUUUAUUGUAAUCUUCUGAGAUUGGAUCUGUGGCCAAAGGUAAA